UACGAAGGGGGCUAGCGUUGCUCGGAAUGACUGGGCGUAAAGGGCGCGUAGGCGGUUUGUACAGUCAGAUGUGAAAUUCCUGGGCUUAACCUGGGGGCUGCAUUUGAUACGUGCAGACUUGAGUGAGGAAGAGGGUUGUGGAAUUCCCAGUGUAGAGGUGAAAUUCGUAGAUAUUGGGAAGAACACCGGUGGCGAAGGCGGCAACCUGGUCCUUGACUGACGCUGAGGCGCGAAAGCGUGGGGAGCGAACGGG
rnacentral:rRNA from 1 species